GCCAAAUCCAAGCCCAGCUAAACCUACUAACAUACUACACCCAUUCAACCAAACCAUUUGACUAAAAAAGUAUCUGCGAAAGAACCUUAAAGCCGGAGCAACACUACCGCAAGGGACAUCUGAAAGAUAAAUGAAACACUUAAGCACAAUAAAGCAAAGAUCAACCCUUGUACCUCUUGCAUCAUGAUUUAGCUAGCACCCUCAGACAAAAAGACCUUUAAGCCUGAUCCCCCGAAACUGUGUGAGCUACUUCCGGGCAAUAAUUAGAAUCAACUCGUCUCUGUGGCAAAAGAGUGAGAUGACCUAGAAGUAGUGGUGAAAAGCC
rnacentral:rRNA from 1 species